CGGGGGGCAGCAGUGGGGAAUAUUGGACAAUGGGCGCAAGCCUGAUCCAGCAAUGCCGCGUGUGUGAAGAAGGCCUGCGGGUUGUAAAGCACUUUCAGUGGGGAGGAAAGUUUUGAGAUUAAUACUCUCGAAAAUUGACGUUACCCACAAAAGAAGCACCGGCUAACUCUGUGCCAGCAGCCGCGGUAAUACAGAGGGUGCGAGCGUUAAUCGGAAUUACUGGGCGUAAAGAGUGCGUAGGUGGUUUGAUAAGUUGGGUGUGAAAGCCCUGGGCUCAACCCAGGAACUGCAUCCAAUACUGUCAGACUAGAGUACAGUAGAGGAAAGUGGAAUUUCCGGUGUAGCGGUGAAAUGCGUAGAUAUCGGAAGGAACAUCAGUGGCGAAGGCGACUUUCUGGACUGAUACUGACACUGAGGCACGAAAGCGUGGGUAGCAAACAGGAUUAGAUACCCGAGU
rnacentral:rRNA from 1 species